GCACGAGUGGCGGAAUUGGCAUACGCACUGGGUUUAGGUUCCAGCGCCGCAAGGCUUGAGGGUUCGAGUCCCUCCUCGUGCACCG
rnacentral:tRNA from 1 species